GCCGAGCUAGGUAACGGUAGCUUGUGACCCGAGUGAGGACAGUAAGGUGAUGGAAGAAGUAAUGCUGGAGGAAGAAGAAGAUAGGACCUUAUUUAGUGUUUAUUCUUCUUUGGUAUAAUAGACAUAAGAGGUGUGCACUUGUACUUGUUAUACUGAAAAUCGCACACUCCACAGCGUAGAGGAAAUGCUGCAGUAGCUUCUUCUCCUCAAUAGUAAUGCUUCAACCGUCACCAUU
rnacentral:SRP_RNA from 1 species